rnacentral:misc_RNA from 1 species
GUACCCUCAAGCUAUGCUUGGUGUUGGGUGAUUGUCCGGCCUUUAUAGCCAGGACUCGCCUUAAAGUAAUUGGCAGCCAGUGUUUUGGUAUAAAGCGCAGCACAUUUUGCGAUUUACUCCAAUAAUAUUAGCAACCAUAAAGCUCAUCUAUCAC